rnacentral:rRNA from 1 species
AUGGCCAAGGGAGCGGUGAUGCUUCUUGUUCUCUUCACGGUGCUGUCCGCCGUGAGUGAGGCCCAUAGGCCCGGUAACAGGGCCCUAGCCCAUGGGCGUCGCCCGGGGGCCGACCCAGCUGCACCGACACACCUCCACUUCUACUUCCACGACAGCUCGAGGGGUGCGUCCCCAUCGGCGAUGCGGGUGGCAGGGCCGGCGAAUGUGCCAUUGCAAACCCUUUUCGGCGCCGUGUACGUUAUGGACGACCCGCUGACGGAGAGGCCGGAGCUCGGGUCAGCGGCCGUGGGACGGGCCCAGGGCGUCUACAUAGGGGCGGACCAGACAGCAAUGGGCUUCCUGCAGGUCAUGAACCUCGUGCUCACCUCCGGCCCCUACAACGGCAGCUCGCUCACCGUGCUCGGCCGCAACAACCCGCUUGCCGACGUCCGUGAGAUGCCCAUCACCGGCGGCACCGGCGCCUUCCGAUUCGCCCGCGGGUACGCGCAGGCCCGGACCCACACGAUGGACCUCAAGACCGGCGACGCCAAUGUCGAGUACAACGUUUAUGUCAUGCAUUAG